GGAUGUGAGGGUUAUCUGGCUGUCACAUCUGUCACCCACUGAUCACCAGGGUGGAUUCAACUGAUCAGGCUGGCCAAGCAGGGGUCCCCUUCCUCCCUUACUGCUCCACGUACAUCCGUCCCAAAGCUGCAUGCCCACGGAAACAGAUGACCCACCCCCGAUAGAGGAGGACCAUUCUUCAGUCAGGGGGGUACGAGUAGCUGUACUCCCCUGAUAGAAUCUCCAGACAAUCUCUCAAAUCUUUUAGCUAAUUUUUUUCAUAUUUGCAUCCCUGUCUGCAAGUAACUUAUACAUAUUGCUACCUCAGAAUUUUUUCAUGUUGCAUAUUAUCUGUUGAU
ensembl:misc_RNA 7SK 7SK RNA